AGAAGUGAAAGCCCUGGGCUCAACCCGGGAAUUGCUUUUGAAACUAUUGAACUUGAGUAUAGGAGAGGUGAGUGGAAUUCCCAGUGUAGAGGUAAAAUUCGUAGAUAUUGGGAGGAACACCAGUGGCGAGGGCGGCUCACUGGCCUAUUACUGACGCUGAGGCACGAAAGCGUGGGGAGCAAACAGGAUUAGAUACCCUGGUAGUCCACGCCUUAAACGAUGAAUGCUAGUUGUUGGGAAGUCUAACUUCUCAGUGACGCCGCUAACGCAUUAAGCAUUCCGCCUGGGGAGUACGGCCGCAAGGGUUGAAACUCAAAGGAAUUGACGGGGGGCCCGCACAAGCGGUGGAGUAUGUGGUUUAAUUCGACGCAACGCGAAGAACCUUACCAGGCCUUGACAUGGUUAGUAUGGGAUCGGGAGACCGAUUCCUUCAGUUCGGCUGGCUAACACACAGGUGCUGCAUGGCUGUCGUCAGCUCGUGUCGUGAGAUGUUGGGUUAAGUCCCGCAACGAGCGCAACCCUUAUUUUCAGUUGCUACCAGGUUAUGCUGGGCACUCUGAAGAAACUGCCGGUGACAAGCCGGAGGAAGGCGGGGAUGACGUCAAGUCCUCAUGGCCCUUACGGCCUGGGCUACACACGUACUACAAUGGUGGUGACAGUGGGAUGCCAAAGCGCAAGCUGGAGCGAACCCCCAAAAGCCACCUCAGUUCAGAUUGCACUCUGCAACUCGAGUGCAUG
rnacentral:rRNA from 1 species